rnacentral:lncRNA from 1 species
AAUUCGUUGUGUGGGUAGGAAAAGGAACCGUUCAAAUAGUAAAGGUGGAAAUAGGACCUUUUCCCUCUUUUGAAUUGCCACCGUGUCAUCCGACUCUACUAUUUUAACGGUUGACUAACGUCCGUUUGAGUCAAUGUUGAAUUCAACUAUAAACACAGAGUAUGGGUAGUUAAUUUGAAAUUUGUUACGAAAACUGUUGAAAUAAGCACCAACU